CAAAGAUCAAGCCCAUCAGAGGAGGUAUUGAAGGCCUGGAGAAGGGCAAAUUUUUCCAUUUUCAAGAAAAGGAAAAGAAGCUUGGGAGGAGCCCUGGAGGCAAUUUCAUUCAAGCACCCUACCUUCUCAAUCACCCUGGAAGCCAAGAUGACUAGCAGCAAUGGAAGGUCUUGUCUAGGUGACUGGCUUUGAUAUAGCCUCCAAUAAAACCCACUGGAAUUUGUAAAAAGAAGAAGAAAGAGAAGGAAAAGCAGAAAAUAUCCUCAGUAACUAUCGAUACUAUGUUCUUGUGUCCUACCAAUAAUUAUAAUAGUUGACAUGGUAUAUAUCAA